UAUUUUUUUAUUUUUAGUAUUUAAUUUUGCAUAUUAUCAUUGGAUUUAUUUUUUAUAUUUUUAAUUAAUAGAAUACAGGAGUAGAAUUUAAAAUUUUUAUAAGUGUUACAAAUUUAUUUUUAUUUAUUUUGGUGCUGAUAUAUCGUUCCUGUGGAUAUCUGUUUGUUUUUGUUGUUAUUGGAAAGCUUUAAAGUUUUUUAAUAUAUUUUUUAUUAUUUGUUGUUAGAGGUUCUUAUUUUUUUUGUUUUAAACGAUUUUUUUUAUUUGGUUGGAUGAUUUUUUUUGUUUCUAAUAAUUUUUUAUUAGAUUUAUAAUCAGUGAUUUAGUAAAUUUUCUUAAUAUUAUUUUUUUUAGUUUAAAGUUUAUGGGGAAUUAAGUGUCAUUUUAAAUGUUUUUUAAAUACUUAGGUCUUUUGAUUUGAUUGGCCUCUGCCCGAUGCUAGUGAGUGAAUGGCUGUCUUAGCGUGAGGACUAUAAGGUAGCAAAAUCAUUUGUUUUUUUAAUGGAUUCUGGUAUGAAUGGGGUUUUGAAGUGUAUCUAUACUUUUUUUUUUUUGAAUUAAUGUUGUUUUUAAUAAUUAUAACUUCUAAUUAUACAAAGAUAAGUCUUUGGAAAUUGUUUUAAAAAGAUUUGAUUUUUCGAUUUUUUUAUUUUUUCUGGGGCAGAUUUUUAGGUAAUUUCGUUAUCUAUUUAUAAUUUUAGUAAUUACUCCAGAGUUAACAGGAAAUUUUGUCUGUAUAAGUUCUUAUUUAUAGGCAGGUUUUACAUCGAUGUUGUAUCUUGGUUGGUUCAGGUGUAGGUUUUUGUAUUUUUUAGACUGUUCUUCUGUAAAUUAAUCAAACGUGAUAUUAGUUUAAUUCAUCGUGAGAUAGAGUGGUUUAUCUUGUUAAUUAGUUUUUUUAUUUAGUUAGAGUACGAAAGGAAAUAUCUUUUGAUUUUAAAUUUUUGUAAUUGGAAU
rnacentral:rRNA from 1 species